rnacentral:misc_RNA from 1 species
AAGUGGCGGAAGAAAGAAUUUGAAGAGGAGCUUGACAGAGCUGUGAAAGCCCAGUGUGAAAUUUUCAUCCUGCAGAAAUUCAUCCAAGACAUGGAAGAAAAGAACUACACUUUAUUGGUGGACUGUCAGAAACAUGUUGAGGCAUCAAAAUUGGCUGACAGGCUGAUUACAGAGUUAGAGAAUGAGAGCCUUGAGCAACAGGUAGAAGCAGAAGUUUUGCUAGAUGAAAUCGAAAGGUUGAGACUGGGGAUAUAUCGAGUUUUCAAG